rnacentral:rRNA from 1 species
UACGUAGGGUGCAAGCGUUACUCGGAAUUACUGGGCGUAAAGCGUGCGCAGGCGGUGAUGUAAGACAGAUGUGAAAUCCCCGGGCUCAACCUGGGAACUGCAUUUGUGACUGCAUCGCUGGAGUGCGGCAGAGGGGGAUGGAAUUCCGCGUGUAGCAGUGAAAUGCGUAGAUAUGCGGAGGAACACCGAUGGCGAAGGCAAUCCCCUGGACCUGUACUGACGCUCAUGCACGAAAGCGUGGGGAGCAAACAGG